CCAAACCUCGCUGGAGCCCAAGACAGCUCGCACGGAAGUAGUAGGGCAUGAAUUGGACGCGGUCGCCGGCGCCGAAGAAAGGAGCAAGUCACAAGCUGAGCAAGCCCGCACGGCCACACCCCACCAGCAGAGCAUAGUAGGGCCGGUGGAGCUAGGGAGCAACGCCUGCUCGCCCCGGAGUGCCGCGCACUGAAGCCAUGACGCCCGUCGCGCUUAGGUAUUCCUAUCCGCCGCUCCCGGCACUGGCCUGCCACCGCGCGCAAGUCGGUUGCCCAGCUGCAGCCGCGGCAGGCCAGCACACACGAGAGGCCGGCAAAGCAUGGCCACCGCCAGGCUCCACCUCCAAGGUCGCGCCGUCAUCCGCCGCACCGGCUCCCUGAGCACGGAUCCAGGUAGGCAGGACCCGGACCCUGCCAUGGAGGGCCGGGAUCUGUCCCGUCCUGGCCACUCCGGACACCGACCGCCAUGAGAAGAGCUAGCUCGGAAGGAGGAAGGGGAGAGGGAAUGGAGGGAGCGGUGGAUUGCGGACAACAGCCUUGUUGGGCGCCGCCGCCACCGCUCUCCGGUGAGCGGCGACGGCGGCCGAGGGCUUGCUCCGUCGAGGGUUUCUGGCGGCGGCGGUGUAUCGCCCCCGACUCGCCUGUACGACGACGCGCGGGAGGGUGGAUAGAGGUACUUCUGGUGUACAUUAUUGCAUCUAUUAACGCAUACAUAAAUUGCUUGCAUACACUGUAUGUGCAGGAGAGAGAUUGAUUUACUGGAAAUCUGGAGGAGGAAAUCUGGUGUGCUUCAGUGCUGCAGUGCUGCUUUGCAUACAUUUCUUCUGACGGCAGAAUCUAGAAGAGCUGCAGAUUCAGAUGGAGCUGCUGGCCUAGUUUGUAGAUUUAAUUAGCUCAAGAGGCAGGCGACAGAACCAAUUCAUCAUGCCAACAGAGAGGAUCUCAUUCAUAGCGGAUAGCAUAGAUGACGCAGCAGAUCAGAUCAUUCAUAUUUUGGAGGGCACACACAAUCGAAGAGAUGUAAUAUACUUCCAUGGCUGGUUUGGGUUUGGAGCGUCUGCCGUACUCAAAGCUGUCGUAAAAAAACUAAGAUCAUCAUCUGGGUUGGCUGACACUAGGACAGCAAGGGACUUGGGAAAGAUCAUCCACGUCGAUGUCUCACAGUGGCAGAGCAAGAGAUCCCUACAGAAGGUGAUUGCAGAGGAGCUUGAGCUACCCCCGCAGGUGAUGGCACUCUUUGACCAGCAUGAUGAGGAGGAUGAUUUUGAUGGGGUGGAGCAGAGAGAUAGAGCUGUGAUUCCUUAUGUCAAAGCAGCGAUCAUGAAUGAACUUAUGGCUCGCAGAUUCCUUGUGGUUUUGCACAAUGGGAGUGGCAGCUACAUUGAUCUGUGGGAGGCUGGUGUCCCUGUAAUUGGGGAAUUGAGCAAGAGGGUGUUAUGGACAUCCCGAGGCAGGUUCUGGCAUCAUGCCAAAGAGGGCCAUGGAGAAUAUUUUAAGUUAGAUAAAAUAGAGUUAGCUAAUAAAUGGAGUGAUGCAUCUAUAUUUGUUUUUCCAUCAGCAGUGUUUGAGGACGACGAUGCUGUAUAUCAUGCCAUGAGGAACGCUCUAUAUGCAGAGGCUGAGGAGGUUGCUAAGUACACAGGUGUCCCUGAACCCGACAUGAGCCCAAAGAUUGUCACUGAAUGCAUCUUGUAUAGGGCACUGAGAGGUAAUGACCACAACAUCAACUGGGAGUCCCAUGGCUCCAACUACUGGGUAUGUGAUGGGAUUAUACAGGAAGGCACUGAUGGUGGUAGGUCGGCAUGGAAGAUCAGCGAUGCUUUGCAGAGGAACAUGAGCCUGGACUUUUGUAGUGAGUGUAUUGAACUAAUCUGUGGAGCGUUGAGUGGUGAACAGAAGAGGUGUAUGGAACGCUGGGUUUCAGUUACCAACCAGAAUUCAACGGAAGUCCAAUUGACAUCUCAGGCAACAUCCUUCUUCUGUACAACAAUUGGAUCAUCAGUUGAUCAGCGGGUUCUAGAAGCAGGCAUGUUUGAGCAUUCAGAUAGGACGACCAAUCUGCAUGUGAUUCAUCUCUCCUACUGUACCUUCAAUUUUUCAUCUCCUCCAUUCCUGAGUUGCAGCAACCUAAGAUUUCUCUUGCUUGAUCACUGCAAAGACCAGGACACACAAGACCUUGGUGAAGAAAAGGAAUGCCAUCACCACAGCCAUUGUAUCCAACAAGACGGUGGAGCAUGCUUCCGGAAUCUAUGUGCGCUAGAGCUGAAUUAUACAGACUGGUACUGGCUGCUAUCAAAGGACAUGUUGGAUUUCAUGGCCAACCUCAGGGAGUUGAAUGUGAAAGCAGUCGGUAAUCGGAGCAUGAGCCAUCUAUGUCAUUGCAGUGGUGCCGGAAGCAACAACCGGAAGCUGGUUAAGCUCCGAGUGGUAGCGGAGGAGCCACAUAACAAAUACGAUGACAAUGGAGAUACAAAUCAAGCAGUCUCUCCAGUGGUAGAAUCAUUCCCAGACCUGUCAAGUUGGCACAUCCUCAAGACAGUAGUCCUUGAUGGUUGUGGUGAUUUGAAGCAAAUUGACUGCAACGCCCUACCCCUCUCGCUAGAGUCAUUUACCUUGAUCAGCAGUGCCAGUAGUAAGAUAAAGAUCAUCUCCUUCUGGGGACGUGCCAGAUUGAAGAGCCUCUUGUUGAGAGGAUUAUUUGAUAGCCUUGUGGAGCUGGACAUGUCUGGUACAGCAAUUAAAACACUUGACCUUAGAGCAACGCAAGCCAUGGGCCUUAGGCGUCUCUUUUUGUUGGGAUGUGAGGAGCUUCGUGCAAUACUAUGGCCACAAGUGCAAGAUGAAAACAAGGAGGUUCAGUUGGAGGUGCUGCGCAUUGACACCACCACCACCCAUGCAGCAUGGUACAGGGAAGAAGGCAAGUCCAACAAGCAGCAAGAGGCUACUGCUGCUAGUGACAAUACAAGUAUAGAAGGGUCAUCAUCAGCGGCCGUGUGUGGCAAGGAGGACCGAACAACCAUCAACUCAGAUUGGUAUAUUUCCGUAAGGGAUCCUAGGUUUUUUCGUUCACUUAUGAACUUGAGGCAUGCCAAGGGGUUACAUGUUGAGAUUUCAUCUACUGGUGGUCACACAGAUACCUCCUGUGAAGGAAUAUAUAGCAAUGCUUGUGGCCAACAGAAGCCAGUUGGUAACUUGUACUACAUUGAUGGCAUCAUUUCCACCGCCUUCAAUAGCAACUCACAAGCUGAUGAUGGUGCCGAUAGGGAUCUAUUUGCAGAGGCUGAGGCAUCAACAAUGAAGCGCAUGUGGUUAUGGCAUUGCCCCCCUAUUCCUAUGAAUUCCAAUUGGGCCCACUGCUAUAUUACCAUACAAGAUGAGACAAGGACCGAGUCACUGCAGGGUAUUAGUAGUAGCAGCAGCAGCAGCAGCACACAAUUAAUAACUGCUGCUACAACUCUCCCAGAUUUUGUGCAUGUGAAUGCUAGGACCCUGCACUUUCAUGACAGCUUGUCCAUCACCUGUCUACCUGGCCCCCCUGCACCUGCUACUACUGAUGAUGCAGUAGAUUUUAAAUGGAAUUAUUUACGAUGGUGUCGACUCGAGAGAUGCUCCAAUUUAGAAGGCGUUGUUUUCACUGCACCUCUAAAGCUGUCAGAUAAUAUUUUCUAUUGUCUAGAGACAUUCUGGGCAUCCCAACUCCCAAAGGCACGGUACAUCUGGGACUGGAGCACAUCCGGGUUUCGUCCUGGACGAGGUUCUUUUGAGGAUCUUUCAUUCUUACACCUGGAUUAUUGCCCCAGGCUAGUGCAUGUACUCCCCUUGUACACAUCAAAUACCAAUGGAUGCCAUAACUUGGAAACCCUUGAGAUCGUGUGUUGCGGGAACCUGAGGGAAGUCUUUCCAUUAGAUUCAAAAUCACAGCAGCAGGAAGAACCAAGACAAUUCCCUAACUUGAAGCGCAUCCACCUAUAUGAGCUACCCAAGUUGCAGCGCAUCUGUGGGCACUGCAAGAUGUUGGCGCCUAGGCUCGAGACCGUGAAGGUGAGGGGAUGCUGGGGCCUCAAGCGCCUACCAGCUGCGGUUCGAGAUGAGGCAGAGUCGUCGGAGGAAGAAUCUUCUGAGGACAUCACGCCAUUGUCAACAGUGAACUUGGACUGUGAGAAGGAAUGGUGGGACAACCUCGAGUGGGAUGGGGAAGAGGCUGGCCACCACCCUUCCCAGUACAAGCCCACCUAUUCAGCCUACUACAAGAAGAACCAGCUCCGAGCCUCUGUGCUCAGGUAGGUAGCAAUCUCUUUUAUGGAAUGGCUUGGAAUGGUUCAUCAUGAACAGGAGAAGAUCGAGAUAUGCUAUGCUUGGAUUGCUCUGCUUCCGUCGAGUCUUCAACAACUCUGUUCUAUUUGCUUGUGUGUGUGUGUGUGUGUGGGCUUCGUUUGCUAGUCAGACAACUUGCCUGAUCAAUGACAUGUAAACAGACAAGUGAAAGUAGAGUCUUAAAUCUCCCCUCCUGUUGGUGUUGGCUGCCCGGCACAAGGCUCAGUUGCUGCCAACUAUCACAGAGAGACCACGACGUCCCAGUAAAUUUGGCUUGUGUUUUAUAAGCAAGAGCACAGUAGGUGAUCACAAGAUCCAGGCUCUUGAUGACACAAGGGGCAUUCUGAUUUCUGAACCCUCAUGGCAUGGGUGCCCAAGUUUUCCAGAUGAAAAUAUUCUGCAAUUGCAGACGCUGGCACUGUCAGAAGCUCCUUGAUUUCCCUUCAAGCCAAUUCGCGGUAAAAAGAACUCUGUCCAUUCCCAACUUGUAAAGUUACUGGAGCUCCAAGAAAAGCCUGAAUGAACGAACUUGAGGAUCAGUCUGAAUCGGCAGCUCUGUUGCUGCACCGUAUUGCAA